rnacentral:rRNA from 1 species
UCAUAUCGACGGCGGUGUUUGGCACCUCGAUGUCGGCUCAUCACAUCCUGGGGCUGAAGUAGGUCCCAAGGGUAUGGCUGUUCGCCAUUUAAAGUGGUACGCGAGCUGGGUUUAGAACGUCGUGAGACAGUUCGGUCCCUAUCUGCCGUGGGCGCUGGAGAACUGAGGGGGGCUGCUCCUAGUACGAGAGGACCGGAGUGGACGCAUCACUGGUGUUCGGGUUGUCAUGCCAAUGGCACUGCCCGGUAGCUAAAUGCGGAAGAGAUNAAGUGCUGAAAGCAUCUAAGCACGAAACUUGCCCCGAGAUGAGUUCUCCCUGACUCCUUGAGAGUCCUGAAGGAACGUUGAAGACGACGACGUUGAUAGGCCGGGUGUGUAAGCGCAGCGAUGCGUUGAGCUAAGCGGUACUAAUGAACCGUGAGGCUUAACCUUACAACGCCGAAG